GGGCGUCGCCAAGUGGUAAGGCAACGGACUUUGACUCCGUUAUUCGUAGGUUCGAAUCCUCCCGCCCCAGCU
rnacentral:tRNA from 1 species